UACAGAGGCCUCGAGCGUUAGGCGGAAUCACUGGGCGUAAAGGGUGCGUAGGCGGGGCUUUAAGUCAGGGGUGAAAUCCUGGAGCUCAACUCCAGAACUGCCUUUGAUACUGAAGAUCUUGAGUUCGGGAGAGGUGAGUGGAACUGCGAGUGUAGAGGUGAAAUUCGUAGAUAUUCGCAAGAACACCAGUGGCGAAGGCGGCUCACUGGCCCGAUACUGACGCUGAGGCACGAAAGCGUGGGGAGCAAACAGG
rnacentral:rRNA from 1 species